AGCCUCGAUAGCUCAAUGGUUGAGGAGCGGACUGAAUUCCGAAAGGUCGGCGGUUCAAACCCCACCCGUUGCACUAUUGUCGUACCCACUCCUAGCACAAGCUUCACGCUUAGUUGGAGGGGAAUGGGGAGUGUUAAUCAUGACUCAUGAUUAAAAAAUGGCAAAUAUUCGUCUUU